GAUGCAAGGCAGUUUCCAGUCACUGUUCAUUUCAACAAAAGGACCCCAUUGGAAGAUUACAGCGGGGAAUGUUUCCGGAAAGUCUGCAAAAUUCACCGAAUGCUUCCUCCAGGGGGCAUUUUGGUGUUCUUAACCGGACAGGCCGAAGUCCAUUCUCUAUGUCGGAGGCUGAGGAAGUCCUUCCCUUUUUGCAAAAAUGCAACCCCGGGCUCUGAAGAUGAGGACAAUUCUGUAGAAGCCAUCAGAAGGUUUAAGAAAUCCAGACAGAAAAAGAAGCAUGCUCUUCAAGUAAGCUAAAUUUUCCUGCACUGUCACAAAUGCAGGCUGGUUGCCAAGAGCCCAAAUUUUGCUCACGUGACCAUUUUGUAUGCUGCAAAAGUUACAGGCGCAAGUUGUAAGUCACUUUUUUCACUGCUACUGUAACUUUGGCCAUUAAAUAAAUG